GAUGAACGCUGGCGGCGUGCCUAAUACAUGCAAGUCGAGCGAACAGACGAGGAGCUUGCUCCCCUGACGUUAGCGGCGGACGGGUGAGUAACACGUGGAUAACCUACCUAUAAGACUGGGAUAACUUCGGGAAACCGGAGCUAAUACCGGAUAAUAUAUUGAACCGCAUGGUUCAAUAGUGAAAGACGGUUUUGCUGUCACUUAUAGAUGGAUCCGCGCCGCAUUAGCUAGUUGGUAAGGUAACGGCUUACCAAGGCAACGAUGCGUAGCCGACCUGAGAGGGUGAUCGGCCACACGGGAACUGAGACACGGUCCAGACGCCUACGGGAGGCAGCAGUAGGGAAUCUUCCGCAAUGGGCGAAAGCCUGACGGAGCAACGCCGCGUGAGUGAUGAAGGUCUUCGGAUCGUAAAACUCUGUUAUUAGGGAAGAACAAAUGUGUAAGUAACUAUGCACGUCUUGACGGUACCUAAUCAGAAAGCCACGGCUAACUACGUG
rnacentral:rRNA from 1 species